rnacentral:tRNA from 2 species
UGGGGAAUAGUGUAACGGUAGCACGACAGAUUCUGACUCUGUUAGUCUAGGUUCAAAUCCUAGUUCCCCAGC